AAUCACAGGAGUUGAGGAUUGUGUUUUGGAGCAGUCACAGGCUGGACUCUAGAAUCAUCUCAAGCUCAGUGAACUUUCUGAUAGCAAAGAAUCUGGUUUAAACUGUUCCUGAGAGGCCGACUACCCUUCCACCGUGUGAAUAUACCACACCCAGCUGGUGGCAUCAGUCACUGGCUGCAUGUCGGGUGAUCUUAUUCUGAUAGUGCUUCAGUGAGGAUGGAAGCGGUCAUAUCGCUUAAAGGCCUGGAUUUUGAUCAUUUCAGCCUAAAGACAUGUCCAACAGGCCCCAACAAGAAACAGCGGGUCACGAAAGAAGAGACGGUGCUGGGGUCUGCGGGAAUGGCUGCUAGUCCCAGAAGAAACACCUGUGUGCUGGGAUUCUGCGCUGAAAACCGCGCACCACGUCCACAGGACGCCCUGGCCGCCGUGUCUACACGCCCUUCGCCUUUCCCACGCACACUCCCAGCCUGACGCCAGCCGCCCCGGCUCUAGGGAACCGCCAAGACGCGAGCCCCGAAGGCUCCUCCCGCCACGCGCCCCCUGCUGGUCACCCCGGAACGCGCACUCCCGCUCGUCCACGCGUGGAUUCCUCAGAACUCGCCAGGCCUCUGCUCCUGCUCCUGCUCCUGCUCUUCCACGCGCCUGCUUGGCUUGGCCAGUGCCUGGGGCUUUUCCUCGGUGACCACACACGAUGCCCCGGGUAAAGGAACUGCAGAACAGACCUUCAGGGCGCUGCUGAGGGGCAGGGGCAGGAAGUGUGAUGAGGCCUCAGAGCGCUUUCACGUAGUCAGUCCCAUCUGUCCUCCCCUCUCUUGCACAGCCUAGAAGAGCAGUUUGGUUUCCAGAGGGUUCACCCUGGUGUUGGGUGCAGGAAUGUGGCGAUUGGGCAGCCGGGAAUUGAUGCCAUCCACAAGGGAAGACUCACCAGUCAGCUGCUGGUGGAUGUAGGAAUGUAGCAAUCAGGAGGCCAGGAAAGGGGGGUCCAAAACCAGGGAAAGGGAGAGGAACCCCAUCCUCUGAGAUAGGCAAGAGGCUGUUGAUUGGUGGUACUUAUCUGGAUUCCAUUCGACCUGAGUGUUGGAUUCAGGUGGAUUUCCUGCAGCUUUCAAGAAUUUUAUUUGGGACAUAAACUUUAGAUGUGUUAGCAUCACCAUUGUAAUCUGCAGUGAAAUAUACAUUGCAGAAAAGGCAGGACACACACACUCCUCUGUGUUAACAGCAUAAACACUCUCUGAGGUGAGCUUUGGAAAGGCAGAAGCCUUCUGUGAAGCAGAAGGGGCAAAGGCUCACUUGAUCUUGACCUUGAGUAGGAUUACAGAUCGGGGAAGAGAGGCUGCUUCCCUGUCUCCAGAAGACGGGAUCUAGCAUAAUGACAAAUAUCUUUUAACUCUAUGCUUAAAAGACAAACCAAGAGAUUUAAAAUAUUGAUUUUGGAUUCAUGAUAGUGGAUCAUAUAGUGAAAUGUUUUUUUUUUAUCAGAGUUAUAUUAAUAAAUCAGAGCUCAGGUGAUAAUGUCAGAGCUCUGGACAGUUAAUACAACACUAGCAAAACAACAGGAGGAAAUAUGAAACAUUUCUUUAAAAUUUGGGAUUCCUUAAAUCACCUUAGACCUUCUAACCUUCAGAACUUGCAUCUACCAGCUUUCAAACACUUUCUUAGACCUUUAAAAAAACAAAGAUAGUCCAUAAAAAGAGGAUAACAGUUUCCUGUAUAAUUUAGUUUAUUAAAAGUCAAUAUCUUAUAAAAGUCUAAGGCUAUAAUUUAGCAAAGAGGACUAAACAUAUUAAUAAGGGAACAAUUUUUAAAUUUUUUGAGAGUGAAGAGAGAACAUAAUGACCAAAUUUUAAUGUUGUAAACAAAUGAAUAUAUCAUAUAGUUUUUGGGUAUCUAGGCAAAAACUCAUAUCUAGUAACUCCUGAGACAGGAGUAUUAGAACCAACAACAUAGUAGAACAGCACAGAACAACAACAACUUUAAAAUUCUAUUUCAAUCUGUUAUAACAAAGCCACUGGCCAGAAAGCCUAGUGGCCAACCAACCCAGAUCACAGGUGGGAGAAAAGCAUUUAUUCAUUCCUUCAGCAACUGGUAAGUUAGACAUACAUUCAGGAACAUAGGCAGUUAGACAUACAUUUUAAAAUAGUUUGCUCCUCUGAAUAGAUCUUUAUAACCUUGAUAUUUUAGCAUCACAUGAAAAUUAUUUUGAACCAGAGUUGAAUCCUAUACGUAGCAUGUUGUAAAAAUAUAACUUCGAAUUUAUGUAAAGAUUCAUACCAAUUUAAAAUGAGACUUGUUGCUUUAUUAGUCUGAAAGGAGAUAAAAUAACAAACAGAGAGUUAAUAAUGAUUAAAGAAGUAAACCCAAUAAGCAAAUUAAAUAAAUCGUUAGAUAAGAACUUAUAGAAUCAUUUUAAAAUAUAAAUUUUUAAGAGCAGGGUGUACAGAAAUCAGGAAGAUUUUUAAAAGCUGGGAGGUAGGGCAUAAAACCAUCAUAUUUUAAGUAAGUUACAAUUUUGUGUUGGGCCGCAUUCCUAAUCAUCGUGGGGCACGUUGGCCGGCGGGAUGUGCAUGCAGGGUUGUAGGAGGGAAUUCGUGGGCCUCAUGAGCAGAUGGUAGAAACAACAGCCUUGCUCGCUCACCAUCGGGAAGAGAGCACAAUGACUAGCCGGGGCUCCUUCAGCCAUAAGGAGGGCCCUUUAGCAUCAGCCCCCACAAGCCCCUACACAGAGUGAGGAGACACUGAGAACCAGGGCCAGCCUCAUCCCUGCUCUCCAGCUGCUGAAGCCCAUUGGAUGCCGGGGUCCUGAGAGCUGCUUGCCUCAGACAUCAGCAAAAUCAGGAGGAGGCCUCAAUACUAGCAGGCAGCACAAAGCUCCUCCCCAAAGGCCGCCUAGACACAUGGGGCCUGGUCAGUAAACAUACAAGCUUGGUGGCUGCCGUGACAGGAAGGCUUGCCUGGCCUGUGGAACCUGGAACUACAGGGGCCUGGGGAUGGCAGAGACCGCUAAGGGCCUGUAAACAGGGCAGGACAGCUCGGCCCAAGAGCCUUUGAAAGAUGGAAGAUGAGAACACGUGUGUCCUGGUGACUUGAGGUGCUCAUGAAGGCCUGACAGUUGCUAUCAGAGAGGGAGGUGUAGGAAAGAGGGGAGGAGAAGGGGAGGCUGUGGGGUCACCAGCUGGGGGAGGAAGAAAUGCAUCAGGCACAAAGUAGAGGGAAGAAUGGUGCCCAGUGAACAGGGCAGACAGGAGGGGACACAGCCGUGGCUCUGUGCAGGGUGUGGAGCAGAGGGUGUGUGGGAUGCGGACCUCUGGCGGGGGGUCCCUGUGACCCCACACAGUGAGCCCUGAAGCUGCUGUCAGGGGCAGGCCCCGUGUGUGCAGGACCAGAGAAGAGGAACAGAAGGUGGCUGGGCAGGAGGACUGUAGGGAAGAGGGCAGGUGGGGAGUGCGGUGGGUAGGGUGAGUCCAGGCAUGAAGAAGGGCCAGAGAGCAGCAGUGUGGAACAAGCAGCUUCUGUGUCUGCGGGAGCUCGUGCGAGCUGGAAGCCGGUAGCCACCGGGGAUGAGGGAGAGAGGACUUUGCGGUGAGGCUUUGGAUGUGCUUGAUUUUUAAUGAUGUCCGUGUUUUAGUGCGUGAAGUGGCUGCGAGGGUUUUCGCGGCGGCGGCGAGAAAAAAAAAGUGUAGCCCAAGCUGUCCUGGAACUCGAGAUCCACCUGCCUCUGCCUCCUUCAGCAAAUCCUACCGGCCUGCGCCACCAGAGCCGGCGAUAGAUAGUCUUGUUCUAAUCGUAGUUAGCUGUGCGUUCCAAUGACGUCACCGCCAUUUCAGCGUGGUCAGACCAACGCGGGGUGAAAGCUGUGCACAGCGUCCAGAUGCCUUCGCCUCAGACCGCACCGCGAGCCCUGCUCAAGCGGCGCUUUGCCCUUCUCAACACACCCCAGCCUACCAGCAGCCGCUCCUCCAGGAAACUGACACCUAAGAGCCCCCGAGGGGGUUGCUCGCCCCGCGCCCCCUGCUGGUCACCCCGGAAAGCGCACUCCCGCCCCUCCAGACCUGGAUUCCUCAGAACUCGCCAGGCCUCCUGCUCCUGCUCCUGCUCCUGCUCCUGCUCCUGCUCCUGCUCCUGCUCCUGCUCCUGCUCCUGCUCCUUCCUGCUCCUGCUCCUGCUCCUGCUCUUCUGCUCGCCUACUUGGCUUGGGCAGUGCCUGGGGCUUUUCCUAGGUGACCACACACCAUGCCCCAGGGAAAGGAUUAUGCACAAUUACACCGUUAGUGUGCUGCUGAGGUGCGGGGUCAGAGAAGCGAGGUGAGGCCUCAGGGUGCCCUGUCACUUAUUUCCUCCCGUGUGUCUUCGCCUCUAUUGCAGACUACAAGAGCUGUUUGGUUUCCAGCGGGGUCACCUUGGUGGUUGUUUCGAGGAUGAACUGGAAACUUCCGACCUCCUUCAUGCAGAGCUAGAAACCAGGAGUCUUUUCUCACUGCGUCUUCAUUUCAGUCCUCGUGAUGGUUAGGGAUGUUGUGCAACUUUUCUCGCGCUCCCUGGCCAUCUCUGUGCUGUUGGGAGAUUUGAGCUUGACUGUCAGUUUGCUUGGAAUAAGAAGCAAACGCCUAAGCUGUUGGGAAUGCACAUCUCUGUGGUGCCUGUGAGGACGGCUCCAGGGGACACUGUUGGACUUGAGGGUUUUAAGGGAAUGCGUGGAUUAAUCCCGGGGUGUUCAACGUGAGAUGGCGUUUUGAGAGCUGGUCACAGAUUCCAGCUCUUCUACUGUGUCUUCCACCCUGACAUUCCGUCUUCUCCUUGAUCUGUUCUCCUACAAGGCUUUGCUUGGAGUCUCCUCAGCCUGAUAGGCUCCCCUGAGAAGCCAGGGAAAGAACACCAGAGUGCAGCCACAGGGCAGAGCAAAGGCCUUGGAUGUGCAGAACCCUCUCUACAUCGCUUUAGCUCACUGAGCCUUCCAGGAGGCCUUCAAGGAGGACUAGUAGACCACCAUGCAGUUUAGCCUACACAAAAGUGCCAGGCGUCACCCUGAGUUACUCCCCAAGCUGUCCUCCCUUCCUUGACACAACAGCCACCCUACAGGCUCCAGCAGCCGUUAAAAUACACGUUACAAGCAGGGCUGUGUCUGGGGGAGGAAGAAAUGCACCAGGCACCAAGAAGAAGGAAGAAUGGUGCCCAGUGAACAGGACAGACAGGAGGGACACAGCCGUGGCUCUGUGCAGGGUGUGGGGCAGAGGGUGUGUGGGAUGCGGACCUCUGGCUGGGGGGUCCCUGUGACCCCACACAGUGAGCCCUGAAGCUGCUGUCAGGGGCAGGCCCCGUGUGUGCAGGACCAGAGAAGAGGACUCUAAGGUGGCUGGGCAGGAGGACUGUAGGGAAGAGGGCAGGUGGGGAGUGCGGUGGGUAGGGUGAGUCCAGGCAUGAAGAAGGGCCAGAGAGCAGCAGUGUGGAACAAGCAGCUUCUGUGUCUGCGGGAGCUCGUGCGAGCUGGAAGCCGGUAGCCACCGGGGAUGAGGGAGAGAGGACUUUGCGGUGAGGCUUUGGAUGUGCUUGAUUUUUAAUGAUGUCCGUGUUUUAGUGCGUGAAGUGGCUGCGAGGGUUUUCGCGGCGGCGGCGGGAAAAAAAAAGUGUAGCCCAAGCUGUCCUGGAACUCGAGAUCCACCUGCCUCUGCCUCCUUCAGCAAAUCCUACCGGCCUGCGCCACCAGAGCCGGCGGGAGCUGUUGAUGUUCUGAGAAUACUUAUCCUUCACAUACAGUGACGUCACUGGUCAACUUCCUGACAGGAUUCUGCUCUGAAAACCGCGCACCACGUCCACAGGACGCCCUGGCCGCCGUGUCUACACGCCCUUCGCCUUUCCCAAGCACACUCCCAGCCUGACGCCAGCCGCCCCGGCUCUAGUGAACCGCCAGCACGCGAGCCCCGAAGGCUCCUCCUGCCACGCGCCAGUGCGCAGCCGUGUGGACGGGGCCUGCGUGUCUGCAGGAGCCGGAGCGAGCUGGGUGCCGGUAGCCAAAGGAGAAAUGUCUUCUUCUGUACAGAAAUUUGAUCGAAUCCUGCCUGCUUUUGCUUAUAAAAAACAUAACCAUGUUGCCGUCAUGACACAGCCCAAGAAUGGAGUCGUGUGAGAAGCCCGAGUGCGUGAGGUGCUUGUGUGACACUCCAAGAAAACAGGACAAGAGUCCUGUGACUUGGGGCUGGAGAGCUGGCUCAGAGUUUAAGAGAACUGGUUGUUUUUCCAAAGACCCUGAGUUCAAUUCCAGCAAUUCCCAGCAACCACAAGGUGGCUCAUAACCAUCUAAAAAACUGAGAUCUGUUGCCCUCCUCUGGCAUGCAGGCACACAUGCAGGUCAAAUACUAUAGAAAUCAUAAAUAAAUAAAAUAUUAAAAACAAAACAAAAGCCUGAGUCUUGUUUCUUUAAAACAUGAAAUGUUCUUGAAUGUGUUUUUGUGCUCUGCUAGGUGCAGCAGAAAAAAAAAGUGACUUUUCCAGACUGCUUAUUAUUACUGAUUGGUAAUGUUUAAAUUGUUUUUUGUGUGCCUCUCUGGAAAACCGUAUUUGCCAUGCUCAGCUUGCCUUUGUUAUUGUAUUCAGCUUGAGCUUUCUUAACCCUCAGUAUAAACUGUCUGCUACUCUGAAUAAAGUCAGCUGUUGUAUGA